rnacentral:tRNA from 3 species
GGGUGGUUAGCUCAGCGGUAGAGCACUGUCCUCACACGACAGGGGUCACAGGUUCAAAUCCUGUACCACCCACCA